GACGGGGCCCGCACAAGCAGCGGAGCGUGUGGUUUAAUCGAUGAUACACGAAGAACCUUACCCAGGCUUGACAUGUAGGUGGUAGGGAUCCGAAAGGUGACCGACCCUUCGGGGAGCCUGCACAGGUGCUGCAUGGCUGUCGUCAGCUCGUGUCGUGAGAUGUCCGGUUAAGUCCGGUAACGAGCGCAACCCUCGCUGUAUGUUAUAUGUGUCAUACGGGACUGCCGGUAUCAAGCCGGAGGAAGGUGGGGAUGACGUCAAGUCAGCAUGGCCUUUAUGUCUGGGGCUACACACACGCUACAAUGGCCAGUACAAUAGGUUGCAAAACCGCGAGGUGGAGCCAAUCCUAAAAGCUGGUCUCAGUUCAGAUUGCAGGCUGCAACCCGCCUGCAUGAAGAUGGAGUUGCUAGUAACCGCAGGUCAGCUAUACUGCGGUGAAUACGUUCCCGGGGCUU
rnacentral:rRNA from 1 species